rnacentral:sRNA from 2 species
UAAGGAUAGUUGUAUUUUUUAUUAUUUUGAAAUCAAUUGAGUACAUUUAGAGUGAGAACGAUUGUAUGAAUAGGGUAUACCCAAAAUAUACACGAAAGCAUCGUUGUAAAUACAUGAUUUUAGGUGUAUGAUUAGGGUGUAUAUUAAAUGGUUUUGAAAAGAGGUGCUUUUUAGUCAUGAAAGUAGCAUAUGCUCGAGUAAGUUCUACAGAUCAAAAUUU